rnacentral:rRNA from 1 species
UACGUAGGGUGCAAGCGUUAUCCGGAAUUAUUGGGCGUAAAGAGCUCGUAGGCGGUUUGUCGCGUCGGCUGUGAAAACCCGGAGCUCAACUCCGGGCCUGCAGUCGAUACGGGCGGACUUGAGUGUUGCAGGGGAGACUGGAAUUCCUGGUGUAGCGGUGAAAUGCGCAGAUAUCAGGAGGAACACCGGUGGCGAAGGCGGGUCUCUGGGCAACUACUGACGCUGAGGAGCGAAAGCGUGGGGAGCGGACAGG